rnacentral:rRNA from 1 species
UGGGGAAUUUUGGACAAUGGGCGCAAGCCUGAUCCAGCAAUGCCGCGUGCAGGAUGAAGGCCUUCGGGUUGUAAACUGCUUUUGUACGGAACGAAAAGGCUCUGGUUAAUACCUGGGCCCAUGACGGUACCGUAAGAAUAAGCACCGGCUAACUACGUGCC